rnacentral:tRNA from 1 species
GCGGAGGUGGCGCAGUUGGUUAGCGCGUAGGUCUCAUAUACUCUGUAUGACUUGGGGACUACCUACGGUCGAGGGUUCGAACCCCUCUCUCCGCA